rnacentral:rRNA from 1 species
UUGCUGACGACCGGCGCACGGGUGCGUAACGCGUAUACAAUCUGCCUUACACUAAGGGAUAGCCCAGAGAAAUUUGGAUUAACACCUUAUAGUUUAUUUUUAUGGCAUCAUUUAAAUAAUAAAGUUUACGGUGUAAGAUGAGUAUGCGUCCCAUUAGUUUGUUGGUAAGGUAACGGCUUACCAAGACUACGAUGGGUAGGGGCCCUGAGAGGGGGAUCCCCCACACUGGUACUGAGACACGGACCAGACUCCUACGGGAGGCAGCAGUGAGGAAUAUUGGACAAUGGAGGAGACUCUGAUCCAGCCAUGCCGCGUGCAGGAAGACGGUCCUAUGGAUUGUAAACUGCUUUUAUACAGGAAGAAUAAGGACUACGUGUAGUCUGGUGACGGUACUGUAAGAAUAAGGACCGGCUAACUCCGUGCCAGCAGCCGCGGUAAUACGGAGGGUCCGAGCGUUAUCCGGAAUUAUUGGGUUUAAAGGGUCCGUAGGCGGGCUGUUAAGUCAGGGGUGAAAGUUUGCAGCUCAACUGUAGAAUUGCCUUUGAUACUGAUGGUCUUGAAUUAUUGUGAAGUGGUUAGAAUAUGUAGUGUAGCGGUGAAAUGCAUAGAUAUUACAUAGAAUACCGAUUGCGAAGGCAGAUCACUAACAAUUGAUUGACGCUGAUGGACGAAAGCGUGGGUAGCGAACAGGAUUAGAUACCCUGGUAGUCCACGCCGUAAACGAUGGAUACUAGCUGUUUGGAUUUCGAUCUGAGCGGCCAAGCGAAAGUGAUAAGUAUCCCACCUGGGGAGUACGUUCGCAAGAAUGAAACUCAAAGGAAUUGACGGGGGCCCGCACAAGCGGUGGAGCAUGUGGUUUAAUUCGAUGAUACGCGAGGAACCUUACCAGGGCUUAAAUGUAGAUUGACAGGUUUAGAGAUAGACUUUCCUUCGGGCAAUUUACAAGGUGCUGCAUGGUUGUCGUCAGCUCGUGCCGUGAGGUGUCAGGUUAAGUCCUAUAACGAGCGCAACCCCUGUUGUUAGUUACCAGCACAUUAUGGUGGGGACUCUAGCAAGACUGCCGGUGCAAACCGUGAGGAAGGUGGGGAUGACGUCAAAUCAUCACGGCCCUUACGUCCUGGGCCACACACGUGCUACAAUGGUAGGUACAGAGAGCAGCCACUUAGCGAUAAGGAGCGAAUCUAUAAAACCUAUCACAGU